AGUGAACGCUGGCGGUAGGCCUAACUCAUGCAAGUCGAACGGCAGCACUGUAAGAGCUUGCUCUUACGGGUGGCGAGUGGCGGACGGGUGAGGAAUACAUCGGAAUCUACUUUUUCGUGGGGGAUAACGUAGGGAAACUUACGCUAAUACCGCAUACGACCUACGGGUGAAAGCAGGGGAUCUUCGGACCUUGCGCGAUUGAAUGAGCCGAUGUCGGAUUAGCUAGUUGGCGGGGUAAAGGCCCACCAAGGCGACGAUCCGUAGCUGGUCUGAGAGGAUGAUCAGCCACACUGGAACUGAGACACGGUCCAGACUCCUACGGGAGGCAGCAGUGGGGAAUAUUGGACAAUGGGCGCAAGCCUGAUCCAGCCAUACCGCGUGGGUGAAGAAGGCCUUCGGGUUGUAAAGCCCUUUUGUUGGGAAAGAAAAGCAGCAGGUUAAUACCCCGCUGUUCUGACGGUACCCAAAGAAUAAGCACCGGCUAACUUCGUG
rnacentral:rRNA from 1 species